rnacentral:rRNA from 1 species
AUUGAACGCUGGCGGCAGGCCUAACACAUGCAAGUCGAGCGGAUGAGUGGAGCUUGCUCCAUGAUUCAGCGGCGGACGGGUGAGUAAUGCCUAGGAAUCUGCCUGGUAGUGGGGGACAACGUUUCGAAAGGAACGCUAAUACCGCAUACGUCCUACGGGAGAAAGUGGGGGAUCUUCGGACCUCACGCUAUCAGAUGAACCUAGGUCGGAUUAGCUAGUUGGUGAGGUAAAGGCUCACCAAGGCGACGAUCCGUAACUGGUCUGAGAGGAUGAUCAGUCACACUGGAACUGAGACACGGUCCAGACUCCUACGGGAGGCAGCAGUGGGGAAUAUUGGACAAUGGGCGAAAGCCUGACCCAGCCAUGCCGCGUGUGUGAAGAAGGUCUUCGGAUUGUAAAGCACUUUAAGUUGGGAGGAAGGGCAGUAAGUUAAUACCUUGCUGUUUUGACGUUACCAACAGAAUAAGCACCGGCUAACUUCGUGCCAGCCGCCGCAGUAAAAC